GAGUAUAUAGCUCAGUGGUAGAACACAUGCCUAGCAUGCAUGAGGUCCUGGGUUCAAUCCCUGGUAUCUCCA
rnacentral:tRNA from 1 species